rnacentral:rRNA from 1 species
UACAGAGGUGGCAAGCGUUGUUCGGAAUUACUGGGCGUAAAGCGUGCGCAGGCGGUUAUGCAAGACAGAUGUGAAAUCCCCGGGCUCAACCUGGGAACUGCAUUUGUGACUGCAUAGCUAGAGUGCGGCAGAGGGAGAUGGAAUUCCGCGUGUAGCAGUGAAAUGCGUAGAUAUGCGGAGGAACACCGAUGGCGAAGGCAAUCUCCUGGGCCUGCACUGACGCUCAUGCACGAAAGCGUGGGGAGCAAACAGG